AUGGGGCAUUGUCACCCCAUGGGGCACUGUCACCCUCUGGGGUAUUGUCACCUUGUGGGACAUUGCCACCCUACAAGGCAUCAGCACCCUGUGGGGCAUCGUUACCCCCACAGCAUUGUCACCCUGCAAGGCAUCGUCACCCCACAGGGCACUGCCCCCCUCAGGUGUUGUCACCUCAUGUGCCAGCCCCCUUGUGCCUGCUGCCAGCCUCUCUGCUCCUCCUGCCUGCUCUGCCUACAUGAUGGGGACAUGAUGGCUUUCUGGAGGCUUUGCCUGCUUGGGGACAGGAACCCCUUCUGCCUCUUCUGCCUGCUUGGGGACAGGAACCCCUUCUGCCUCUUCUGCCUGCUUGGGGACACGGGUGUCUGCUGGCUCCCAGGGGACAGGAACGUUCUCCCCUGCCUGGGGACAGGAUCCUCGAGUACCUACACAGGAACUAGAUCAUUUGUGCCUGCUCAGGGCUCUUCUGGCUCUUCGGGGACAGGGUGCUGCUCUGCCUGCUUGGGAACACAGCCACUUUCAUCUGCUUGGGGACAGGAGCCCCCUCUGCCUACUGCCAGCCUGCUCAGGGACAUGGGCAUCUUCUGGAUCCCUGGGGACAAGAUCACUUUCCCCUGCCUGGGGGCAAGAUCCUGGAGUACCUACAUGGGGACAAGAGCGUUUCUGCCUGCCUGGGGACAUGGGCAUCUGCUGGGGACAGAGUCCUGCUCUGCCUGCUUGGGGACACGGUCACUUUCAGCUGCUUGGGGACAGGAACCCCCUCUGCCUGUUCAGGGACACGAGCACUUUCUGGCUCCAUGCGGACAGGGUCCUGCUCUGCCUUCCUGGGAACUGGGAAUCUGCUGGCUCCACGGGGACGGGGUCCUCUCUGCCUGCUCAGGAACAUGGAUACUUUCACCUGCUCGGGGACAGGAGCCCCAUCUGCACGGAGACACGGGCAUCUCCUGGCUCCUUGGGGACAGGAUCAUGUCUGCCUGCCUGGAAACAGGGCCCCUGAGUACCUAUUCGGGCCCAAGAUCAUUUCUGCCUGCUUGGGAACACGGGCAUCUCCUGGCUUCCUGGGGACAUGGACUCUGGCCUCGCCCCUCCAGCUGGAUGGGCAUCCCUUUUACUGGGGACCACGGCCCCUGA
rnacentral:lncRNA from 1 species